UACGAAGGGGGCUAGCGUUGUUCGGAAUUACUGGGCGUAAAGCGCAUGUAGGCGGCUUUCUAAGUCGGGGGUGAAAUCCCAGGGCUCAACCCUGGAACUGCCUUCGAUACUGGAGAGCUUGAGUGUGGAAGAGGUUGAUGGAACUGCAAGUGUAGAGGUGAAAUUCGUAGAUAUUUGCAAGAACACCAGUGGCGAAGGCGAUCAACUGGUCCAUUACUGACGCUGAGAUGCGAAAGCGUGGGGAGCAAACAGG
rnacentral:rRNA from 1 species